rnacentral:snRNA from 1 species
AACAAAGCAUUGCGAUGGUCC